GCUCUUCUAUUAGCUUAAGGAUCUUGGUCUUCAACGCUUCCUGGUCCUUCUUAAGCAUUUUGAGUUCUGCUUCCUUUUCAGCUUUCUGGUAAUCAGAGGUGACAGUACUUCUCGAUUUUUUUCUAUGCUUGUUUAAGUUGCGUCUCCUCUUUAUGUUCUUCAGCAAAUGCUUCUUCCCUUUCUGAAAACCUUGGUUUGCAAACUCCCAUUGAUCUGGAUUGAUCUUCCUAAAACCCUGCAACACAUUUUUAAUUAUGAUGCAUGAAGAAUAGAAGAUAGGAAGAAGCUAUGUCUAGGAGUUCAUAAUGAACCAAAGGCUAAAGAGUAGAAAAUAAGCAGAAUGAAGGCCAUGAAAGUUUCAGUGGAAGAUGUGCACAAGGGGUAUUACUAGGCCAAUAUAGAAAGUAAACGGAUUAUAAUGCAUGCCAAGGAGAGACCGCUUACAAAUAUCCAAAUUCCAGUACAAAGAGUGUGGAAAAUUUUAAGAGUAAAGGCAAACAACUCAAAAUCAAUCCAGCUACUACUAGAUAUAAUAUAAAUACAACAGUGCAGAAUUAUGCUUCUGGUCUUGCCCAAAAAGAAGAAAGGUGCUACAAAACACCGGAUAGAAACAAAGCAAUGGCCAAAGGAAACUUGUCUUCAGCUAGAAAGUGCAUAAUGAAGAAUUAAAGCCGUAAAUGCAAAAUACUAACCGCUAUAAGGGAAUUGCUGUAGGCCAUUUCUGAAUCCAGUACGAAGAUAAUCUCUAAUGGGUGAUCUGAUGUCAUGGUUGACAUGAUGGUUUCUGCAAACUACCGUCUAAAGCAUCAUCACUUGAAUAUGAUGACUACUGAGGGCCUAAUAGGGGCCAUUGUCCACUGGCCCCUCGAUGCAUAUUUUUGAGAACAUGUGCCACAUGAUUCACCAAAUUUCUUAGAGAAUCUGUGUAUCUCGCCCACCAUUUCAGGUUUCUUGGUUCCUCGUCCCCUAAACUAGGGUACAGCACAAAUAGUACCCGACAAAGUCAAAGUGGGUUAAAUUAAGUCUCGACACCUGAGCAAACGUCUUAAGAGGACCACGCUCUCGACGACAUCAAAAAAGAACCGAAGAGUUAAACCAAAACGCUCAUACACAGACAUACUUUAUACAGAUCCAUACAAAAGAUAACGACCACAACAAAUAACAUUGGUUUGCUCAUAUCAAAACAUGAAGAAGUACCCACAUAAGUGCUGAGCUGCCUGAUGAAGCUGGAGAAGUUGGAGUGCUUGAAGUAUCGGGGCAGGACCUGCUUCGAGAACUCCUGCCGAUCCCACACCACGAAGCUAUCCUGGCUCAAGCCCCACGACACCACCGGAUCUGUACCCGGGUCCGACACCAUCUCGUAAGUCUUCCUCAGGAACGGCGUUGGCCCCACCACCCCCAGAUCCUCCAUCGGCUUUGCCACAUCGUAUGCUGCCGCCUGCCAUGAGCAUGACGGCGAUAAAAUGGCCGCAGUGGUCGCCACCUCCUCCUCUUCCAAUUCCUCCUUGAUCUUCACCGCCUGCACGACCAGAGCCGAACAGAGUUCGGGCCGGGUCAGGCAUGAAUGCAAGCGCGAUCCAGCUUCAAUUUUGCCAUCGCCAAUGGCUACCUGUGGCAAUGGACCCGAAUGGGAAAGCGACCCACAGCAUCCUAGCUCGCCUGCACGGGCUUUUGAUUGUGACCGAGAAGAAUCGGUUCGGGUUAGGUCCGAGUACAAGGGCGACCGGGACCCUAUCUCGCCAUGGUCGUCAUCAUCAAGAACAGCGAAGGACGCGAUUUCUUCCCGUGACCUUGCGAAAGGUUUUGCCUUUUCUAGCUCAAGACUUGAAUCUCGAAAGAAGGUUUCGGAAAACCAUGGGCAAGAUCCAUUGGCACGGCCGGGGAAACAACCGCCGGCGCCGCCGUGAAACGCCGUCAUCAAUUUGAGCUCGAGUUCAUGGUUUUUUUUUUCACUUUUUUGGGGGGGUCAGGAGCGUCGAGUUCAGGUUCAGAAGGUGGAGAUAAUAUGAGCAAAUUUCAAGCGAAUGAACAUACAUGGUAGGAUUUCGAGAGACGGUAAGAAAGAGCUUAAAUUGAAAAGUGGAGCAGGCAAGGGCAAGGGCGAUGGCAUGUGGACUUAUAUACUCGUGAGAAAAGGAAAUUGAUAAGCUGACUGCACCGUUACCUUGGAAGAGUGACGGUGGUGCAAUCACUGCCACAUUUACUCAAAUUAAUUUUCAUGCCACAGAAAAUCUUAAACUGAUGAACAAGUACCACAUUUUUCCCAAAGUAAUUUUCAUAUAAAAAAAAUAUCCACUUUGGAAGGGAGAAAAUUGAUAGAUUUUAAGGUAGAAGUCACCAAAAACUCUACACUAUGCCACUCUAAGACCUUUAUCCCAGAUUUUUUUUUUCUUUUUGUGACACAAAAAAAAUCUCAAACUUACAUCUAUGUGACACAUUUACCACAAAAUUAUACAAUGUGAUACAUUUAACCCAAAUUUCUUAUUGUGACACCAAAGACCCAAGACUUUAGUGUCACAUAAAAAAGUUUGAGGUAAAUAUGUCAUAUGAGUACAAGUUUGGGAUUUUUGAUGUUACAAAAAAUAGUUUAGGAUAAAUGUGUCACAGUGGUCAAAGUUUGAAAUGCUUUGUAGCUUUUUCCCUAAAUUUUAACAUAAGUUACUUCAUUAAAAACAAUUUUUUGCAAGUUAGCCUUUUAUAAAAUUGGUGCAACGGACAAGAUAACCAGAAGUUUCUGAGAAAAAAUUUCAUCCUUGUGUCUUCUUCCCUUUAAUUUUGUCUACUUGGUGGAACAUCUUAAGCCAGCGGACAAGAAUUUUAGGCUUGCCGCGGCUAGUCCUUUUCUGAGGACGAUAAUCCUACAAAACCUUAUGUAUGCUCUUGUGAUGUUUUGAACAGAACUGGUUUACCCCCUUUUUUAGGGAAAAAAAUGAUAGGGGAUCUUGUACACAUACUCUAAAUGCAUCUUUAUGAAUUUGGAAAGUUAAUUUGAAAUAAAUGCAACAUGAAUUUAUCAUUUUUAGGAUUUUUUUUUUUUUGGUAAUAUUAACCAUAUUCUUUUAAAAUAUGUGUAUUAAACAUUUCUUAUCAUUUGGCAAGGACUAAUGCAUGAAGAACAUGUUGGGGAGCCAAAUGUAACUAAGCAUUCGUCAGCCCUUGCUUGACCACUUGCCAGAUCUAGCCAUGACGGCUGCAAGCUUUGAGGUUUAAUCUAGCUUUUAAGCUCACGGCUGCCAUGGCCACUUGAGGUUGAAGCUUGGCCUAAGAGUCUGCUUCAUGGAGGAAAGUAUGUUUUUUUACUUCCUCUUGAACAAGUUCCACAAGCUUUUAUGUCAAAGAAGCCUGUUAAGGUUCAGAAGAUUUUCUGCUCUAUAUGCUUUGACCGGAAGCCACAACAAUUUCAGGUUCUCUAAUGAAAUCCUUUCGAUCAGAGACCAUACUUUCCUUCUGCACUUCCAUCUCAAUCCUGAUGGCUUCCUUUAGAAGAAGGGUGACUCAUAUAUUCUGGAUUGCGCACCUUUGACUUUUUCUCUUUCAUUUUCAUCUUUUUAUUUCUUGAACCAGUCCGGAAUGAGUCACGAAUUUCCAUAGGUAGCUUCGAGUCUGAUCUCUGGCGGGUGGUCAUGCAAGGGCCGACGAACCCCGCCAAAGGUCUAGGUGGCAGUGGGCAGCAAUGAACAUGCGCCAGAGAGCUUUGGCCGAGCAAUCCCGAGCUUGAGGACGAUGAAUACUAACUUCAAUUUUUGUUUUGUUUUUUGUUUUAAUCUUUUUAGGUGUGUUGCUUGCGUGGGUGCCUCUUGUCCUUGAAAAGCACUAAGAAUGCCACAUUGAAUCCAUGUCAGAUUUUUAACAUAACCCUAUGUUGGGAAUAACGGAUCCCCGAAAACCAGAUUCGACACUAAAUCGAACCCCUAAAUCAAUGCGGAAGACGAAGCCCGGGAAAACACGUAUCACCGAUCGUAAAGCACACCACGGAGUCGAGCGUACCUUGUUAGCCACAAAUUAGACACCAAUGCCGAAGAUCGAGGAAGAAAUUCUGAUCUGAUGAUGUCAAUUCGCCUUGAAAAGGGAAACCGGCGUCGCCUUAAGAGUACUGUUCUUGUUAGAGGGAGAGAGGGAGAGGAGAAGACGUACGUUCAUUUGUUCCGUUCCAACGGGUGUCAUCUCUCUCUCUCACCUCCCUUUUAUACCUUCCCCCAUCCACGGGCCCUAUUCCCGUGGGCCGGGCCUUUUGGGCCCAGCAUGGGCGGACGGGCCUUAAGCCCAUCACCAAUUAAAACCAUCAUAUCCCACUCGCACAUGGUGGGCUGAACAGAAUUCUCUUUACCUCUCUUCAACAUUCAUACCGGUGAAUAAUCCAUGCGACCAGCAUACUUUGAGAGCUUGUUGCCAUACAUCUGUUAGGAAUAUAUAGCAGCUCAUAAUGGGCAUCACACUCCGAGUAGAUUUAGUAUGCAGUACCCUAGAUCGAUCGAUCACAUUUAUAUCUCUCUUAAUCUCUUUUAAACAAUGAUAUAUAUUGUAUUCACAAUUAUGAUUAUCACAAAGACAGUCAUAAUUGGUUAACCGGUGAAUACAAAAAACUACAAUGUGAUUCUCCAAAUUCGAUCUUCCUCUUUCCUUCAAACUCUCAAUUUCAGUUCAGCUUGCUUUUCUAGAAAUACCCCAUUAGAUCAAAUCAGCACAUGACCAUUGGCAACAUCCUAAGAUAGCAAACACUAAAUAGAAAUCUUGAGGAUAAGUAAGAGUCAUGAGGGGACUAAAAAUUGAGGAGCUCUUUUCCUCAAGAGCCUCACACGUCAUAAAAAAUUGAGAUCAAACUUUUUGCCACUCUUAUUAGUUGUCUCAUGCAUACGUAGUAUGAAAUAUGUAUUACGGUAUUAACUCCUUUCCCAUGGAGCGUAUGUCUACACUUUCAAUACCGUACAGAUGAUAGUUUAGACAUACCCAAUGUCUAACUUGAGUUCACGUAUCUACUCAAUCAUAAAAUUCAUCAGAACUCACAUUUGGCAUCAUAGACAGAUAAAGUAAAAUAUGUUGGUGAUUUUACUUUCGGACAUAGUUAGUAUUAUGUCCUCAUCUUAACACUUAGUUAAGGUGACAUACGUAUUUUAAGCUUGAGCUCUCGAUUAUCACCUAGAUAAUAAGCUUAAAAAUAGUCUCAUCUCUAUCUAUCACACAGUAAAUAGAGGCGAUUACCCGUGUGAGUGGGCUAAUCUUAUAUCUGUCCGACAUACUUUCUCAACUUAAAGUAAUGCACUGAGCAUUAAGAUACAUAAAGAUCAAACAAAGAUUCAUAGGCAUUAAUGAUGAAAACACAAAUUCAUCAAAUGUGAAAUUUUAGGGAAAUUACAAUAUUCAAUACAUCAUCCUCUACGCAAUCCUAGAGAUUUCAUAUGGCCACAAAAACACAUCUCUAGGUAUUGGCUUUGUCAUAGGAUCUGCUACCAUUCUAUCCGUAGUAUGUACUCUAAGUUCACAUCAUUUCGUGCAAUCAUAUCAUUGACAAAAGUAUACUUGGUAUCUAUAUGUUUGGUCUUGCCAUGAUAUUUUGGAUCUUUGGUGUACACUUUCGCUGCUUGGCUAUCACAGUUAACCAAUAACAAAUCUGCAGCACUUCCAAUAACACCUAAAUGAUCCAAUAAUCUCUUAAGCCAAACAUCUUCUUAUACUGCUAUUGAUAAUGCCACGAACUCAGUUUCCAUCGUGGACAAGGCUAUACACUUUUGUUUCUUACUGCUCCAACAUAUGGUGCCAUUAUUCGAUAAGAAAACAAAUCAAGAGGUAGAUUUUCUUUCAUUUAAAUCUCCUCCCCAAUUAGCAUCAGAAUAGCGUUUGAGUUGCAGAUCCUUUCCUUAAUAACUCAACGUAUAAUCAGCAGUUCCCUUUAGAUACCUCAGUAUUCUUUUAACGGCUUUCCAUCGUGCUUGACCUGGAUUGGAUUGGUAUCUACUCACCAUUCCAAUUGCAUAACAUAUGUCAGGUCUUGUACACAUCAUAGCGUACAUCAAGCUCCCAACAGCACUAGCAUAAGGAACAUGUUUCAUUUGUUCCUUCUCUUGUGGAGUCCUUGGACACAGUCUAUGGCUCAAUCCUUCACCUUUUGCAAUAGGAGUGUCAAUGGGUUUACAAUCUCAUAUCCUGCAAUUCAAAAUUGGAAGACAACCAACUCUUGACAGUAUUGACAAGUUCCAUAUUGCUUCCGGCAAUUAAUAUAUCAUCAACAUAUAAUAAUAUGAUUACAAAUUGAUCCUUGGAUCUUUUGAUAUAUACAUAAUGAUCCUCAUCUAUCAUUGUAAAAUCAUAUGCCAUUAUGGCAUUAUGAAAUCGUAUAUACCAUUGUCUUGACGACUGUCUAAGGCCAUAUAUCGACCUCAAAAGUCGACAUACCUUUUCUUCUUGGCCUUUCACUAUGAAACCAGCAUGUUGUUCCAUAUAUGUUCCUUCCUCUAAUUCUCCAUUGAGGAAAGCAGUCUUUACAUCCAUUUGAUGUAACUCAAGAUCCAGACUAGCCACUAUUGCCAGAAUAAUGCGAAUCGAGGUAAAUCUCACUACAGGAGAAAACGUAUCUUCAUAAUCAAUAUAUUCCUGUUGAUUAUACCCCUUCGCCACAAAGCGAGCCUUAUGCCUUUCUAUCGAGCCAUCAGCCUUUCGCUUUAUUUUGAGAACCCACUUGUUCUCAAUAGCUUUGCGUCCUUUUGGAAGAUCAACCAGUUCCCAGACUUGGUUUGAUUUCAUUGACUCCAUUUCCUCUUUCAUUGCAUAAAUCCAUUUUUCCUUACUAGGGCAUUUUAGAGCCUCAUUAAUAUUUCUUGGCUCAUCCUUAUCUCGUGGAGCAAUUAUAAAAGUUUCCCCUUCAAUGUCAAAACGUUGACGGGGAAUACUUUGGCGACUUGUUCGCUAUAUGGGAGAUUGUACACUUAGCACAUCAUUCCCCAUUAUGCUCCCACUCGGAUUAGAUUAUGACGAUAUCAUCUCAUCAUGUGGUUGUAAUUGAGAAUGCGUUGAAUUCAAUUCAUCACUUCUCAUAUUACUCCCACUUGGAUGAACUCCAUUAAUAUCAUUAUCUUGAUCCAAGCUUUCAAAUAGGGGUAAUCUUCCCCUAUUUCGCCCUUCUUAGGAAAUUCAUCCACUAAAAAUGUGACAUCCCGUGAUUCAAAUUCAGUUAUACUCCCACUUUCCUGCUCACCUACGAAUACAUACCCUUUCGAGUGUUCGGAGUAUCUCAUUAAAAUACUCUUAUUUCCUUUAGGACCCAAUUUCCCAAACUUGCGAGAUGACUCAUGAGUAUAGACAGUACAACCCCAUGGCUUAAGAAAACUUAAGUCCGGUUUUCUACCUGUCCAUAACUCAUAUGGAGUGGAACUAACUGAUUUGGAAGGCACUCAGUUAAGUAUAUAGGCAACAGUUAACAACGCAUCACUCCAAAAAGCGAUAUGUAAGUUAGCAUGCGCCAUCAUGGACCUAACCAUUUCCAGUAGGGUUCUGUUUCUUCUCUCUGCAACACCAUUUUGUUGAGGAGUAUAUGGAAUAGACAACUGUAUUUCCAUUCCCUUUUCAUCACAUAAUUUUCUGAACUCAUCAGAUAAAUAUUCUCGACCUCGAUCAGAUCUCAAUGCUUUUAUUUUAUUGUCUAAUUGAUUUUCUAUCAUGUUCAUAAACCUUUUGAAACAACUUAUGCUUCAGAUUUAUGAGAAAUCAAAUAGAUAUUUCCGAAUUGAGUAUAAUUAUCUAUAAAAGUGAUAAAAUAAACAGCCCCAUGCCUUCCUCUCACAUUCAUUGAACCACAGACGUUAGAAUGGAUUAAAUGCAGAUGAAAUUCAGCUCUUUUAUCUUUUCCAAAUGGUUUCCUUGUCGUUUUCCCUACUAGGCAAUGCUCACAUAUUGGCAAAUCGACUUUUUCAAUGUUGCCCAACAAGCCCUCUUUGGCUAGUUUAUUCAUAUGUUGUUGGCCAAUAUGACCAACUCUAGCAUGCCACACAUUCACAUCAUUAUCAUAUGAAGUAAAAGACGUGAAAUAAGGGAACAACAAACAUUGACAUCACCACAGUCAACAUUUAGUACAAUAAAACCAUCCAGAAAGUGACCAUAACCAUAGUAGUUUGUAUCCAAAUACAAAUUUAUAUUGCUAUUACUGAAGUUCACAUUAAAACCAAACUUAACCAACAUCAAAGCAUACGUUAAAUUUCGACGAAUCUCUAGAGCAUAUGGAACGUCAUGUAGGAACAAGAUGCGUCCACUACGCAUGUUCAAUUGGCAUGUGCCAAUCCCUUUAACUUCAUUUCUGGAGUUAUAUCCCACAUAGAUCCACUUAGUUCCAGUCGGUAUCGUCGGAAUUCCACGAAGGAUUCUCUAUCCUUCGCUACAUGGUCUGUCUUUCCUGAAUCUACAGUCCACAAAGGACUAGAUUUAGCCAAUAAUUCAGAACUUGACACAUAAUCAAAGUUCUCAAAUGUACAAGAGGUGUUUACCUUUUUCGGCUCACGACAGUUGCGAGCAUAGUGACCCUUCUUGUCACAAUUGUAACACCUCACCCUUGACAUUUUCUUCACUUGAGGACGUUUUCCUCUCUUGUGUUGGUUAACUCUUGAUCUCUUGCAAUAAGGACUUGAUCCUUUGCAUUCCCACAUAUUGAACGAAUCAAUACACUUGCGCUUAGAGCUCAAAGCCCUUUCUAAGCUAGAACUAGCAUUGCAAAUAUUUAUUUUCAGCUCACAUGCCGUUAAGCGGUCCUCUACCAGCUCAAGGUGGCGCACAGCAUUCUCAAGAUCUUCCAUAACAUGGUCAAGAGCUUCUAGUGCUUCUUGCUUUUCCAGCACAUAUUGAAUCUUCAUAUUCAAUAUUUUACAAUUGUAGCCGUUCAUAUCAGCAAUUACGUUCUUAAUUGCUGAAAACAUCGAUCUGAAUACAUCAGACAUACAUGCAUGAAUAAUUAAUGCCUAUCAUUUAUGCAUCCCUAUUUGCACAGACCCAUCAUAUCAAUGAAUAAUUUCAAGUAAGGUUUCAGAAUCAAAAGGUCACUACGUUUCCAAUUAUCCUCCAAAAAUCCUAACUUAAAACUAUUAUUAAUAUAAUUGUCAUAUGCAAAAUCAAUUCUAUGAAGCUACAAAAACUUCUAAACUACCCACAGCUAAUUACCCACAGCAACCAGCAAUAACAGAAAGCAACAUAUAAUAGACAUCCAAUAAAACAAUAAUGCUUUCAAUUAAUACAACAAUCCAUUACACAAAGUAAUAUAUAUAAAAAAAAAUAUCAACAUAGAAAGAGAUAUUCAACACUAAAAAACAUCUCAAACUAAUCUAAGAAAUAAAUAGGGAAAGUCCCUUCUAAUCCAUCAGUUAAAGUAUCUGAGAAAACUGAAGGCACAUUUGCCAACCAUGGAAAAAAUUUUGGAGAGCUCUCAUGUCGCCACCAAGGCGCAUUCACUCUGCGCCAUGUGGUGCUCAAUCUAAGGGUUGAAUUUUUGGCCAACUCAAUCCUAUAAUGCUCUCUUACAACAGCUUCCACUAGCCUCCUAUAAUCCGGGACCACGUUGACCUCCCAUAGCCAAUCUAACACUGCUUGCCAUUCAGGUGGAAGAGUGUUCAUCAAAGCCGGCACCUUCUCAAAAUCCGGCAUGAGAUAACCAUUCCAGAUGAUUUCCUGUAUCAUCUGAUUGACCUUGACCAUAUGUGAUACUAAAUCACCAUCAAGCCACCGAUAAUCAGCCAACUCUUUCAUCAGCCUUUUCAGUCUAGCUCUUCCUUCGUUCGUUCUUGGGAUUGCAGGUAUCCGUGCAUAACGCAACAUAGUUCCUGCAACAAAUGCAGAACUAAAAUGAAUCACUUAUAAUACAUAAUAAACAAAAUGGAAAAUACAUAAUUUUCCAUGAUCCAUGCAACAAAUGCAGAAUAAAAAAUGGAUUACCUCUAACCCACACAGACAUAAUUGAAAAAAGAAACAAAUUCCUUUUUUUUUUUUUUUUUUUUUCGGGUCAACUGUCAAAGUCAACGGUCAACGGUCAACGGUCGUAGGUCAAUGGUCAGGUCGUCGGACCGGUCGGGCCGAUCGGGCCGGGUCAGAAGAACUGACCGCACGUGCCGCGCGCGUGCGCGGGCUGACGUCACGCAGACGUCAGCCGGCACGUGCCGCGCGGGUGCCGGGCGUCCGCGAGUCGGGUCGGGUCGGGUCGGGUCGCCGGCUGGUGACCGCCCGGCGAAACUUCGUCAUGCUAACGUCAUCGAUGACGUCACCCUAGCGGUUACUGACCGUUGGGUGACGUCAUGCUGUCGUCAGCACGCGUCGGUCCGCGGAUCGGCGCGUGCCGAUUCGCCGGCAGGCGGCGAGCACGUGCCGGUUCACCAACCGGCGCGUGUGUUGCACGUGCUGGGCGAGCCAGUGCUUCUGGGCGCGUCGCGCCCACGCGCAGCGGCUUCUGGCCGCGCGUGGGGGCGCGUGCGGCGUCGCCCAGCGGCGCACGACAUGUCGCCGGACUCGCCUUGACGACCCCUUUCUCGCUAUUUGUUCAGAAAACGAUUUCGACUUACGAAAACUCAGAAAAAUGGCCGAACAGCGCUCGGGUGUCGGGAUUUCUCGCCCCGAUCCGUACGGCCAAAAUUUUUUUGCGAAAAAUCAAUCAAAAACAUCAAACAGGUCGGGAAAAACGUGAACUAGGGCUCUGAUACCAAUGUUGGGAAUAACGGAUCCCCGAAAACUGGAUUCGACACUAAAUUGAACCCCUAAAUCAAUGCGGAAGACGAAGCCCGGGAAAACACGUAUCACCGAUCGUAAAGCACACCACAGAGUCGAGCGUACCUUGUUAGCCACAUAUUAGAAACCAAUGCCGAAGAUCGAGGAAGAAAUUCUGAUCCGAUGAUGUCAAUUCGCCUUGAAAAGGGAAAUCGGCCUUGCCUUAAGCGUACUGUUCUUGUUAGAGGGAGAGAGGGAGAGGAGAAGACGUACGUUCAUUUGUUCCAACGGGUGUCAUCUCUCUCUCUCUCCUCCCUUUUAUACCUUCCCCCAUCCAUGGGCCCUAUUCCCGUGGGCCGGGCCUUUUGGGCCCAGCAUGGGCGGACGGGCCUUAAGCCCAUUACCAAUUAAAACCAUCACCCUAAUAGAAGAUAAAUGUGUUAUUCGGAUACAAGCUUGAGAUAUUUGGUACACAAAAAAAUAAGGUAACUGUGUCACAGUUUGGGGUAUUUUGUAGUUUUUCCCUAAAAAUAUCAUUGUGCAGAUCAUGUGCAUAUCACUGCUACAGUCUACCGCCUCUUCUUUUAGAUCCGUCCGUCUUCGCUAGAUUGGCUUCUUAUCGUCUUCGGCAGUGUCUCCUAACCUGGUGUUUUUUCUUUCUUUGUCUUUUCCGUGCCUUGUUGGUUGUUUGGGUGAGGUUUGUGUCCUUUGGUUCUACGUGGCCUUUCUCUACCUAUUGUUUAGGCUUUUUCUCGCUUUGGCCCGCUCUUGUGGUUUCUUUUGCAUCUGGCACCCUUCCACUCACUUCGACUUGGUGUCGUGUUGAGUGCAAGUUUUGUGGUGCUAGAUCUUAUGUAAAUGUUGGCUUAAAGCUCAUUAUAUUAAUUAUUCUUACAAAAAAAAAAAAAAACUGAGUACGUUUGUCUAGCAUAUAGAGCGAUUCUCGGUUGCGAACAUCGGCCAGAGCCGGACAACAGUCGGGUGCAAGGUGUAUCGAACUUUUCCUGGGAAAAGUAAGGGGAUUUUAUUUAUGUUGACUAGUUGAUUAAUCUCUAAUUAAAGUUUUGGCUUUAUCUUCUUAUAAGAUAAAUGCGACACCAGCUCGAGGAAUUUUUACCUUUUGAGAAUUUGUCACUUCAUGAUGACAUAAGAUAAUGUAGGGUUUUGGGAACCAAGACACUUUUGACUUGCAUGUAAUUCACUACCACCAGCAGAGUUUUUCUCAUAGGACAAAUAACAUGGAUCUUCAAUGUAUGGAACUGCGGAUUAUGUUUGCCUGAUUGCUACCUUCAUUUGAACAGCGGAACUCGGCAAACACUCCUUCCCCCGAUGGUCGAAUGUACUCAAUAAGAUUAUGGAUGCCAAUGAUUGUCCUCGGCUGGCAUGCCUUGACAUUGGCAGUCCGGAAGAACAACUUCUAAAGAGGAGAAGGUUUGUAGAAAUUCAAGAGGCCUUUAGCUAGGCUUUCAAUGAGGAUAAGGACAAGUUCGAGAAAUCAAACGUUUCUUCCUCUUCACCAUCUUCAUCUUCAGGAGCAACGAGGCCUAAGGAAAAGCUCCAUAUGAACAACAGGUCAUUUAAGAUUUCAGAAAUGCUUGUACCGUGGUAAUAUAAACUUCUUUUCUAUUGGUUUUGCAUCUGCCAAUUUCUGUCUCUGUACCGGGGUUUUUCAACAGGUCAUUCAAAAAGAUAGGGGUAGUGUUAUAGUUUCUGUUAAAAGUUCAAUCUGGUGAGAAUCACGAGGGCCAUUUCAAUUUUUUUUGGCUGUCUUAGCAGGAAAUAUUGCAAGUAAAUGAUCAAGUGCAUAUGGGUCGAAGAAUUGUGGCCCGACUAAUUUCAACAUGGAAUAUCACAAUUCACAGGAGACUAUCUCACACCAAAAUUUGGUUAGGAUGCACAGAAAAAGCACGCAGUUCAAUAUGCAGAAGUACAGAGUACGUAUGGAUGCACCUAGAUACAUCAUACGUACUCUCGUUCUCUCGAAACUCAGAAAUAUUAUCUGGUGCAUAUGGAGUCCGUAAGAAAAAGCUCCAUUGAGAACGGAAAGAGACGCUGAGAAAUUAGCUGGAAAUGUCUGAUGUUCACUCAGGAAGACUUCAGACAGACGUCAGGGAGUGAUCACUUUUUGGGAAAAUUCCAGGGUCGCUGCUUUCAUGUCCUGGUCCAUCAUUUGUGUUUGUCCACUUUAUUUAGUCACUUCCUAAUCCGAAUUUGGUAAAGAGUCACAUCUGUGAUGUACUAAAAGAUUCACCAAAUAUAGAUAAAAAUCUCUUGAGGCAGACUUUACAACAACACCUGGCCUAAUUUCCGUGGUCAAUUUUUUUUUUUUGGGUGAGGAUUGGACCGCAUUAACUUUGGAUAUGCGAAUUAUAUCAAUGAUGAGAUGGAAACAGCGUAAUUGAUCUACUUUGUAAAAGAUUCUCCAAAGACUCAGUAAAUUUUAUUCAAAUAGCCCUUGAAAUGGAAUAUUUACUCAUAAGAUUCUUUAAAAUGAACUUCAUUUCAAAUAAAGUCCAUAAGUAAGCGACUUAGUCUUCAAUCACCCACAACUCACCUGCUAAUCAAUUAUUUGUCGACGGACAGGCACGUGAAUCUCAUGUGACAGUAACCAAACCAUGACUAAAGACAUUUUCAUUUAGGAUGGAGGUUGAUCCGUGCCUUAGAGGCGAGAUCUAAGGCUCAAAUCAAGCACAAGCAUGUCAAUAUUUGACCCUUGUGGUCGCCACUAUUUAGUUCUUGAUAUGAUGAUGGCUGAUGGCAAGGAGAGAGAUGCGCGCAGAAGAGAUGGUGGAGAGAACGCUCACAGAGGGAGACGAGGGUGAUGACGGCACACAGAAAAGGGGAAGGGCGACAACAUCAGACGAGGCAACAUAAGAUGAGGCAAUGCUAUCACGGUGAUGGCUACGUGCAGUUGCAAGAUUUUGGCGUCCUGGCGACUUCUUGUCGGCGGUCCAUUGUGGAUUUUGUUGGUAGUUUAUUUGUAAAACAAACUUGAAAGUUCCUCCUCCCACAUAGAAUAAUUAGAAGUGCGUGUGUCAAUAUGUAAGUGUGAAAGCCUUCCACUCUUUCUAAUGGAAACGAUGGGUUUAGUGGGUUGGACCCUACAAUACCCAUAUGCCAGUAUGCAAUAAGUAGAUGUACUUCGCAAUUGGGUUAUGGUUGUUUUUUAUUAAUUAAUUUUGAAUUUUAUUGCUAAAGGUAAUUCAGCAUCUUACAAUCUUUAAGAAGUCGUGUCUUUUCAGAAGUUUUAAAAUCCAUAAUUAAAAAAAAAUAUUAUUAUUAUUAUUAUUAUUUAAUAGGAAUUCCAAAAUGUCUUUGGAGAAAGCAUCUGUUCACAAUAAUUCUAAAAGACUAUUCAUCAUUUUUUGUCUCAUAUUUUCUUUAGUCUUGUCAAUUUUCUUUCAAAAAAUUACAAACCAUUUAUUUUAAUUGUUUCCUUUUAAGAGUUAUUGGAGAAACACGGGAAUUGCUAUCCGGUAUUCUCAUUGAGAUUUUGUUGUAUCGAUUUUGUUGAAUAACUAUUAGCAAUGUUGGGGAUAAAUAAUGUUUUAAAGAGAGUGUUAUCACACUUCAAAAUCUGACUCCACUCUUCUUCCCAAUCAUAUUUCUGCUGACAGAUCUAGAGGUAGGGAAAUGGAGUUCUUGCAAGUGACUCGCUUUGACGGUGUCGACAAAGAACUCGAGGUAUUGUGGACACUAGCUUUCCUCUUUGGAGCUCCAACUUGGCUGCCUAUCGAGGUAGACCCUGUCGACUGAGGCUUGGAAGUGGCUGCCCAUGCUGAUAGGAUUCCGAAGUUGAGACCAAAGCCACUACGCACCAUUGUCUUGAUCGCGCGCGGGGCUUCCUCAUGGCAGCUAAGACUGUAAAAAGCGGGCAAUGAGCACAUCGAAGGCAAUCUUACUGGAGAUGCAGUGAUUGAGGCGAGAAACGGCGCAAAAGGGGUCGUUGAAGGCAAAACAAAACAAGACAAUGCCUUGUACGAAAAUGUCCCUAUAAUAUUUUGAAAUUGACAAAAUAUUCUAUUUCUAAUUAUAAUUUUAUAGAUGUAAAUGUUGUCUUACUUCAAGUAAUGUUGAUAUGAGGGACGCUCUAUCGCCAUUGAUGGAAUUUGAAGCAUGAAGAUUACUAGAAGUCGAAUGGAUCAUGAUAGAGUGUGAACAGGUUUAGAAGAAUGGGAAGUUCACAAUAACUUAGAGGUAUCGUGAUAAGGUGAAUAGUGAGUGAAGUCUUGAACAUUAGUGUACCCAUGGAUAGCAAUACGCAAGUCGAUUGCUGAUAGAAACGGCUUAUUAUAUCAGCUAUGGAGAAAAAUAUUUUUCUAGUUCAAGCAAUCUGGAUAAGAAGACCAAUGUUCUUUCACUUAAUUUGCGAGUUAGAAGUUAUAAAUAGCUAGCUUUCAAGGCUUGGAAUCUCGAAGUGAAGAUAUGGAGAGAAAUCAAUAUGAUUGUUACCUAUGUUACUCAAUCAAUUAGAAGAAUAGAUUAUUGAGCCACAUAGCUUAUUAUAUUUAGGGAAACCUCAUUAUUACCUAGAAGAUUUGAUCAUAUGGUUGACCGGAUCUCAUAGUAAUUGCGUUCAUAAUUUUCAAUGGCUAAUUAAUCCUCUUAAGGAUUCUUUAACGGUUAAUUUGGAGGCUGAAGACUAUAUAAGAAGAUUGAUACACUCUAAAUAAUUUAUGUAAAACUAAGAAAGUUGUAAAUAUCGAUAUGGUCACAUUUAUUUUAUGUUGCAAGCGUGAUUUUAUUCACUUGUGAUCUACUCCUUUGAGAGUUGUGAUUGUUCAGUGUAAUUUGUAAUUUGAGGAGUGUACAAAUAUAGGUAGUGCUUGUCUAUUGAUAGUGGGAUCUAUCAAUUUUGGAUAGAAGCAGCACGUGCUUUGGUGUAACUACUAACGAGAAUAUUAAUAGAUUCCAGCCUAUUCGUGGUGAAUAAAGACGCAAACUUGUUAUAAAUCAAACCACGAGCAUUGUGUUUUAUCUCUUUACUUAUUUCACCAUUUAUCUUAUAGAAAUAUCUUGCAUCUUAUAUUAUCCAUUGUUUUUGCAUCUAUCAAAUCUAGUUUAGUAAUUCCAUGAAAAAGAAGAAAGGGAAAUUUUUUUUUUUUGAAAAUCAGCUUAUCCACCCCCUUCGGUUGUAUCAUCAGUCUCCACAGAAAGUGCCACGUGAGGUCCACAUGCUUAAUGAGCGAUGAUAGUUGGUUUGUAGACUAGGAGUGAUUUGAAACUUAGUCGUUCAUUUUAAAGAUUAAUUUGGGACAAGGUUCACUUUGAAAACUUUUAAAAAGAACGACUUCCCUUCAUAAAGGCUGUUUGAAAAUUUCUCGAAAAGUUUGCCAACUCUUUUGGGGAAUUAAAACUUCAAUGCUCUAUAAAAAAAAAGCCUUUCAUUUGAUCUCCUUUAGUUUCGAGCAGUUUGAAUGAUUACCCAUGUGACUAGGCAGUGUUCUCAUGGAAAAAGGACCAAUUACGGCAUCAAUCAACCUCUCCCUGCUUGGCGUAUUGAAGCUUCCAAUAAGAACACAUAUUAGAUUCACAAGAAGCACCUGCGAUUUAAACAAAAAGAAAAGAAAAGAAACAUGGAACAUUUCUUGUAAGUUCUGGUUGAAAUUUGGUAAUGUAAAGCAUUUCGAAAAGUUCUUCUCAUUAAAACUGAAAAUGAACUUUCGCACAAUUAACGCUUCUACUUAUACAUAACUGGUGACCACACACACACACACACACACACACACACAGAGUUUGUGCUAACUUGAGAAAUGAACACUGAAAGGACUUCGAUACAAUGGUGAAAAAGAUAGAAACUACAACAUAUGUACAAGCAUAUUCCAUUGACCCAUCAAAACCUAGUUUAUGAGUUGGAUUCUCUCUUCCUUCCUGUUUCCAGCAUGUACCUUCAUGCCGUCAAGCAAAAAGUCGCUUCACUUCAGUAUCUCUCUUCAAUUAUGCAAGAGCUGUGUCAUGUGAUCUGGGUCACAAUAAAACAGCAGCAACAAGGACUCUAAUGUCCAGCUUAAUAACAAAACGAAACCCAAAAGGACAAGAAAGUAACAGAAAGGGCAGCGCGGGAGUCCAUGAAAAUUUAGGGCAUCAGUCCUCCUGCUUGCUCCAUCAGUUCACUUGUGUACCCAUUCCAUUAAUCAGACUCUCCAGUUCAAGAUAGAUUCCCGUGUCAUUCAACGUCAGGUGGUCUUCUACUUCUAUGUUGUCCGCAUCUGCGCCAAUAACCACGUCUUCCUUGAGGAGCUUCUCGGAAAUCCCCUGGAAUACCGAAGACAAAUCAGAUGAGCUAGCUCCGGUCAUCUGAUUGGGCGUCUGGCCCUGCGCAACCCUGAAAUCUUCACCAUCCAUCGAAGGCCACGGAUUGUGCAUCUGAAAGGUGCCAAAUUGCUCCGGCACAACACUAUUUGGCCGACGCUCCAUCUGUGCCAAAUCGUCACUGAUUUUCAGGCAAUCAACUUUUGGGCUUUGAAUCAUGUGAUCCAUUGCUUCUAGCAAGCAUUUGGUGGCUUCGGCAUCGGGACCAAGCAAUUCUCUCUUCUUGCUCGAUUCACAGGUCUCUAAAUCUCUCUUCUGCUUCUUCUUCGGGGUUAAAUUCAGGAGAAAGUUGGGGCUUUUGGCUGCUUUUAUGAAGAAGAGGAAUAGGAGCUGGUUCCUGCAGUCGGCAUGGCGAACCUGCUCAGCAACCUGCUCGAUCUCAUGCUGCAAGUUGUCCUGCUCUUCUCUUAGCUUAAGGAUCUUGGUCUUCAACGCUUCCUGCUCCUUCUUAAGCGUUUUGAGUUUCGCUUCCUUUUCAGCUUUCUGGUAAUCAGAGGUGACAGUACUACUAGAUUUUUUUCUAUGCUUGUUUAAGUUGUGUCUCCUCUUUAUGUUCUUCAGCAAAUGCUUCUUCCCUUUCUGAAAACCUUGGUUUACAAACUCCCAUCGAUCUGGAUUGAUCUUCCUAAAACCCUGCGACACAUUUUUAAUUAUGAUGCAUGAAGAAUAGAAGAUAGGAAGAAGCUAUGUCUAGGAGUUCAUAAUGAACCAAAGGCUAAAGAGUAGAAAAUAAGCAGAAUGAAGGCCAAGAAAGUUUCAGUGGAAGAUGUGCAC
rnacentral:lncRNA from 1 species